rnacentral:rRNA from 1 species
UACGUAGGGGGCGAGCGUUGUCCGGAUUCAUUGGGCGUAAAGCGCGCGUAGGCGGCAGGGCAAGUCGGCCGUGAAAUCUCCCAGCUUAACUGGGAGGGGUCGGGCGAGACUGCCCCGCUAGAGGCGGGUAGAGGGCAGUGGAAUUCCGGGUGUAGUGGUGGAAUGCGUAGAGAUCCGGAGGAACACCAGUGGCGAAGGCGGCUGCCUGGUCCUGGCCUGACGCUGAGGCGCGAAAGCGUGGGGAGCAAACGGG